rnacentral:rRNA from 1 species
AGUGGCGGACGGGUGAGUAAUACGUAGGAAUCUAGCCGAUAGUGGGGGAUAACCUGGGGAAACUCAGGCUAAUACCGCAUACGCGGGAGGAAAGCGGCGCUAGCGGAUGAGCCUACGUCGGAUUAGCUAGUUGGUAGGGUAAGGGCCUACCAAGGCGACGAUCCGUAGCUGGUCUGAGAGGAUGAUCAGCCACACUGGGACUGAGACACGGCCCAGACUCCUACGGGAGGCAGCAGUGGGGAAUCUUGGACAAUGGGCGCAAGCCUGAUCCAGCAAUGCCGCGUGGGUGAAGACGGCCUGCGGGUUGUAAAGCCCUUUCGGAGGGGAAGACCGACGUUACCCUUUGAAUAAGCACCGGCCAACUCCGUGCCAGCAGCCGCGGUAAUACGGAGGGUGCGAGCGUUAAUCGGAAUUACUGGGCGUAAAGCGCACGUAGGCGGCGCGUCGAGUCGGUGGUGAAAGCCCCGGGCUUAACCUGGGAAUGGCAAUUGAUAC